GUCGAGUUUUGCGGCACACUUUUGAGAGUUUGUUACUUUUAAUCAAUUUCUUAGUUCUUUUUUAAGAUUCAUGUAAAAAAGAUUAAUCUUAGACAUAAAUCUAUUUUUAAGCGCCGACUUCGGUCGGAAAACUUUGACAAAUGGGGUGAAGGGGAGAUUUCUCACGCUUGACUCUGAGACAUGGAUUUACAUGUACAUCUGAUGACUCCGUAUCUGUGGAAGAUGUGCUGGUUGCAGUCAGUGAACAGAUGUGUUGUUAUCUCUAGCAUCCCUGCUGGUGCCUCUGCAAAUUACACCUGCAACAUGAGGGGUCGUUAUGUGAACAUCAUCAUUCCCAAUGUUAUCCAGGCUCUCACGCUCUGUGAAGUGGAAGUCUAUGGGGUUCCAGGUUACACUUUUAUAUCCAGUUCACAAUUUCAUAUACAUUUGAAGUCAAAUUAAGUUUUACAACAGCUGCUAAAUAUCAACAUUGCUAAUUUUUUUUAGUGCCUGUUACUAAGAGGGCAUUUCUGAGAUUGAAGUUUAACAUCAGUGAGUAUCUUAUGAAACCUACUGUGAGGGACAAAAUUAUUCAAAAGGUUUGUGUUUAUGACAUGUAUGGUAGAUUCAUAAAUAAAUAAAUAAAUAAUACUAAUUUUUCAUCAUAGACGAUAUCUGCCAAUGCCCAGCCUUCAGUGCGUCAGAUCUGUUGGACUACAGAACCAGAGGUGGAAAAUGAAACUUAAAAAACGGUGGCAGAAAUAUAUCUGAAACAAGAAGAAGAAGAAGCGGAAGAAGAAGAAGAAGUGUUCAAAGAACAAAAAGAAAGAAAAAACAUCAAAUGUGUGAGGUUUGGGUUUAGCACUUGAAAAU
ensembl:lncRNA